GAAGAUGCAGAGGAUAAGGAAAAUGACAAUGAAGAUGAAUUAUUAUUUUAGACCAAAUGGGAGAUGAUAACUACAAGAACUCUAUGAUUUCUUGUACAUGGCAAUGAUGAUUGCAAGAACUCUGUGAUAAUGCAUUUAGGCAUAUUCCAUAGUAUGACCUUGAAUUAAUGAGUGUAUUGGUGGGGCAAUAAGAGGGGCAACAUAUCCCUUAACUUUGCAGCCAGCAAACACCUCGUUUAGUUUGAGGGAUGCCAACAUUUAUUAACUUGUAAAUGCCGAUGAAAAUGCAAUACUCCCGUGAUUUUUAUCACCUGAGUUGUGUAUAGGAUUCUCUUGUGAUGAGUAUGGACGAGCAGAGCCCAAGGGAAAGGAGCAUUGAACUAGGAACUCAUAUUCGAAUAAAUAAAACAGAUUAUGGAAUGGAGGAUUUCGUUAAAAAGUUAUAUGAAAUUUUGAUAGAGUGAGGUCAAUUGCACAAUUUUCUCAACAUUAACUAUACUGGUGCCCUCCUUCCUCUAUUCCCCCUCCACGCAAACCCCAGGCAUCAACCGCCUCCUCCUUGGACGGAACCCUAUCUUCGCUCCUUCUCCUCAGUUGAAUGGAUCGCCUGCACCGUCAGUGUUUGCUUGGGUUCCCAGUGAACCACCCUUUGGGAAGAUCGAGCUAUAUUCGCCGAAGUGCUACGCGCGGCCUGCACCUUCGUGAUCAUCACACAAUUAAUUGGGUUAUGUCAUUAUCCACUAUCAAAAUUUGCAUUUGAAGAACAAGCUUUUCCUUGCUCUUUGCCCUUUUGCUGCUUAUGUGGGUGGUGGAAACAUCUUCAGCAAGUCAUUGUCUGCUAAAGCAAAUGCUGAAAAUCCAAAUGGCCAUACACAAGUGAUGGGACCAUUCAUGCUACCAUAAAGAAGUUUGAUGCAUGAAUGCUGCAAGCAUUACUCAAAGGUUCAUUAAUCUAGGGAUAUGGGGCGAAAGCGUGUUGCAUCAUUUAUUUAUUCUGAUUCUAGGCGAAAUAUGCUUCUCUGACUCCUUUAUCUUCCCGUCCAUCUACUGGGAAAGUACCUCUAAAUCCUCGGUGAACUACGAGCUCAGGGUCUCAUUCUUCAGCUGCUCAUGUGCGUACAAGCAUGGUUUUUAAAAGCGAAUGAGGCGUGCGCCUUGAGGCGCGCAUCAAGGCGAUGCGCAAGAGAACUCCUUGAGGUUGAAAACUGAGGCUUAAGCCUCACUGUCAAGAGGCGCACGCACUGAGGCGCACCGUCUCAGUGCAUGUGAGGCUUAAGCCUCAAAAAUCCUGAUUUUUGUAAUAUCAUUUUAAUUUUUAAAGCAAAUAAAAA